rnacentral:lncRNA from 1 species
GAGGUUGCCGUCUGUCUCGAGGGUGAGGCGCCUGAGUUCGGAGAGGAUUCGGUUGGAGUUGUCGAAGGCCAGUAUGUGGACGCGGUUCGUCUCGUUCUGAUACAAGCCGAGGAAACCCGUCUGGUUGAGUCGGGCGUAAAUCGGCCCCGCCUUCGUGUCGAUCGUUCCAGUCGCCUCCAACGCCCUCUCUCUCCAGUACAUGACGGCGUCGGUUCUGCCGUCUUCAUAGUUCAUGUAGAGGGCGAUGAAGUUGUCCCCGAGCCGCGAGGAGAAGCGGGAGUCUGGGGAGGAGAGCGCGGCUGAGGAGGUGAAGUUCUGGCCCACGACGAGGGUGUCGAAGGGGGCAUCGAAGCUCUGCCAAAGGACAGAGCCGUUCACGGACCGGACCUGGAGGUUGGAGGUGGGGAGCAGCUCGACCCCGUCGCCGGCGGGCGAGCCGGCCUUCCAGAGGACCCCUCCCGUGGCAUCAGAGAGAGCCAGGGUGCCGCCGUCGAAUGAGAGGGAGAUGGAGUUGGACCACUCAGCGACGACGGCGCUCCUGUCGCGUGAGGCGCGCCAGACGGGGAAGCCGGAGGGGAUGUGAACGACAGCGAGAUAGAGCAAGUCCGAAUUCAUCGGCCUCAGGAAGCCAAGUGAGAAGUUAGCCCCGGGAUCGGUGAGGACUUCUUGGAAGUAGCCAUCAAAAUAUGAAGGAGAGGAAAGAGGAGGCGUUCCUCGGGUUGGAUUCACCGAGAAUCCUUUGUUGAUGGUGCUGGUCGCCGCCGCAGGAGCGGAGAGGUGUGGGAAGCCGAGGAGGAGGAGGAGGAGGAGCGAGGGAAGACGAGGAAGGUCCUGAACUGGGCCCCGACGAAAUCCCUUCAUCUCGGUGAAGCAAUAUCCGGUGACGACCAGCGGAUGCAGGCGGCGGCAGCGGCAACCGGACAGGGGGAAUGACGGACCUCGGCAGGGUGGCGCGAUGGAACAACUCCUAACCGCGAGUAGGGGGGUCCUCCGACCAACCCAACCGGGGCGACGGGGUCUUUGGGGAAGCCACAAAGGCAGGCCACAGGCAACGAGACACACUGUCCUGAUGAAAUCCCCUCUCCGGCAAUUGCCUCCCCCUGUUCUCCCCUUUUAUUCUUCCCCCGCCCCUCAAGAAAUCUCCCGGGGGGAGCCCCUAGAUUUCACUGUGAGAGCCCUUGCAAUCCAACGGCUACCAAUAUCCUCCGAGGGGGUUGAAGUCGAAGAUGGAGCAUAGAUUUCAGCGGUAACCAGCUAGGCCGGUCCUCUUCGGGGGGGUUGGGGGCGGCGGUGGGUUGUUGUGUGACGGCGGAGCGGUAGGGCAGCUGGCGUGAAUGCUGCGAUCUCCUUGCCCAUCCGGCAGAGCAACAGGCCCAGCUGCUCACCGAAAGAGGGAAUAUAAACCAGUCGAUCGAUCCUCUCUCGCAUCCAAUCUGGAGCUCGCCAUGUGGUUCUCCCCCCACCACCUCUGGACCGACGGGACGUUUCCCGGCGCGGAGUCCACUCGAAGGGGACGGAGAGCGGCGGACGGUGCCCCCGUGACCAGGGUUUGACUUUUAGAAGCCCACGCCUCCAUCUGCAUGAACGGGCGGGAGGAAUUUAAGCCUCCGAGGCGACAAACGCGGCACGAAGAGAUCUGUGCUCGCGGGGGAGCAAGCGAUGUGGCGGCGGCAGGCCCCGCGAGCGCUCAUUGACCCGUCGGCCGACAUGACUCUGUCGGCGUCAACGCCGGCGCCGCCCAAUAAUAACUCACAUCACCCCUCUGGAGGC